rfam:Anopheles dirus strain WRAIR2 unplaced genomic scaffold supercont1.972, whole genome shotgun sequence.
AAAACGGUCCUUUUCAGGACCACCAGAAAUGUUGAGCAAAAGAGUA